rnacentral:rRNA from 1 species
CCUACGGGAGGCAGCAGUGAGGAAUAUUGGUCAAUGGGCGCGAGCCUGAACCAGCCAAGUAGCGUGAAGGAUGACUGCCCUACGGUUUGUAAACUUCUUUUAUAAAGGAAUAAAGUGCGGCACGUGUGCCUUUUUGUAUGUACUUUAUGAAUAAGGAUCGGCUAACUCCGUGCCAGCAGCCGCGGUAAUACGGAGGAUCCGAGCGUUAUCCGGAUUUAUUGGGUUUAAAGUGAGCGUAGAUGGGUUGUUAAGUCAGUUGUGAAAGUUUGCGGCUCAACCGCAAAAUUGCAAUUGAUACUGGCAGUCUAGAGUACAGUUGAGGUAGGCGGAAUGCGUGGUGUAGCGGUGAAAUGCUUAGAUAUCACGAAGAACUCCGAUUGCGAAGGCAGCUUACUGAACGGCCACUGACAUUGAUGCUCGAAAGUGUGGGUAUCAAACAGGAUUAGAUACCCUAGUAGUC